rnacentral:lncRNA from 1 species
UUCCGACCUGUCGGUUACGUCUGACGACAAUAUUGAUACCAAGAGCACGGGACAAAGAGAACCGUUUUGCCUACUCACUAUGGUGAAGCGGACCAAAUGGCAAGGUUCUCAUCCUCUGGUGGUUGUCGACACAACAACGUUAAUGACAGGGUCGCUCUUUAGCGAUGCAUAUCAUGAUUUUGCAUAUCUUAUGUCCUAAUCGUCAUGGGCCAAGGUUGCAUCACUAGAACAGUGUUCAGGGCAUCGCCAUAUUUGAGUCUCGAUGUCCUCAUUCCUCAAGAAGGUAGCUUCUGUUAGUG